UACGGAGGGAGCUAGCGUUGUUCGGAAUUACUGGGCGUAAAGCGUGCGCAGGCGGUUUCUUAAGUCAGAUGUGAAAGCCCCGGGCUUAACCUGGGAACUGCGUUUGAAACUGGGAGACUUGAGUGUGGCAGAGGGGGGUGGAAUUCCACGUGUAGCAGUGAAAUGCGUAGAUAUGUGGAGGAACACCGAUGGCGAAGGCAGCCCCCUGGGUUAACACUGACGCUCAUGCACGAAAGCGUGGGGAGCAAACAGG
rnacentral:rRNA from 1 species